GGGCCCCAUGGGACCCCGCGGCCCCCCCGGCCCCACUGGUGCACCUGGUCCCCAAGGAUUUCAAGGCAACCCCGGUGAGCCCGGCGAACCCGGUGCUGCUGGUCCGAUGGGUCCCCGGGGACCUCCGGGACCACCUGGGAAACCCGGUGACGACGGUGAGACAGGCAAACCUGGCAAAUCUGGUGAACGUGGCCCCCCCGGCCCCCAGG